GGUUGAAUCUGUUAUGGAGAUGGU
rnacentral:piRNA from 1 species